GCUGGACAUGCUGGAGCGUUUUUAGAGCAACAGCCAGCCAUCUCUGCCACUCUCCUGGCUAGGGACUUCAAGGCUGCAGUAAAGAAUAACUUACAGACAAGAUAUGAUGCGCAGAAAGGCACAUUGUAUGCAGCAUCGGCACUGGAUCCUCGUUUUAAGGCCCUUCCAUUCCUGUCUGCUGAAGAGCAAGAUGACACCUUCUCCAGACUGAGGCUGCCACUGCCACGUGUGAUCAAAAUACUGAGGGUAUUGAUAUCAAUAAAGGAGCUCAGGAUAUGGGUGAAGCAACUUUGCCCAAGAAGCCUAAGAAAUCCAGCACCUUGGAGUCUCUCCUUGGGACAGUCUACUCACCAAUAGUAAAGAACCAUGGACAAAAAAAACUCCAGCAAUGAGGGCUGAAGAUGAAAUAAGAAGAUACAGGGCAGAAAACCCUGCUGGGCUGAAUGAGAAUCAUCUGAACUGGUGGAGGUCAAAUGAAAGAGAGUAUCCACUGUUGGCUCGAAUUGCUAAGCAAUACCUUUGUGUCCCAGGGACCAGUAUUUCGUCAGAGAGGGUGUUUUCCACUGCGGGUGAUAUUGUCACUGCAAAAAGGAGCUGCCUAACCCCGGAUCAUGUCAAUGAGCUCCUUUUUCUUCACAAGAAUCUCACACUUAGUGAGAAGUGAGAACAAAGUCACAUUGACAGGUCUGGACAGUUUAAGUUUAUUUGUAGUUUUGUUACUAUAAUUAUUUAAUUUUGAACUUAUAGAAACAGCAUCCUAAUGCAGUUUGCAGUUAUGGAAAGUUGUAGUUCCAAGUACAGUUUUACUUGCACUUCCUUUCUCAUUUCAAGUUUGCCCUUUUAAGACUUGACAGUUUUGUUUACAGUUCAAUUUUAAGCUGCCCAAUUUAUAAGUCUGGACUUUCGGUUUUAUG